UGGGCCCCAACUGAAGAAUUUUGUCAAAAUCAGGACACGUCGGUGAAAACCAAGGAGGUGAAGCUAGAAAUGGACUCUGUCCCUCCCCAUCCACCUCCUCGCUCCCCACCAGCCCCUCGCGGCGAGUGGCUGAGCCUGGUGCUCCUGCGCCCUGCACCCUGACCCCUGGUUACGGGGCAGCAGUCCAUGCAGCAAGCAGAGAGGUGCUCUGAGAAGCUACGCAAAAAUGAAGGCUUUCCUAAGAAGGAGAAGGUGAGGUAAGGCGUUAACAGCAAAAGAAAAGGAAGGAUUGUUUCAGGCCAGGACAUCAGGGAGAAACAGCUUGUAUCACACAGAUGGCAGAUGACCUCACUAGUGCUGAGCCGGACAUGUCAGAUGGACUUACAAAAGGUCACCUUCCUGGGAGAGGCUGACAUUGUGAUGAAGCCUUGGGUGUGCUGUGGGGGGGGGGGGGCAAAUGACUCCAAUGUGGGCUUAUUUCUUUUUGAACAGGGUGGAGCUUUGAUGGGGGGAGGGGACACCUGAAGUGGGGUGCCCACAACUUUGAAAAAGUUGAGGGGUUCCAGUGGGGACAGAGAGACCGCUCUGAGUUUGUCAGGGCAGCAGGUCUGGAAAGGGUCCUGGAAAGGAGUAAGGUAGGGUAGGAAGUGGCCCUUCUUUCUCCAGGAGGGCUGCUUCCUUCCUCCCACCUCC